UCCUCUCCCUGUCAUCUCACUGAUUGCCAGCGUUGAUUCAGCUGAUCUGGCUAGCUAGCAGGUGGCCCCUUUCUCCAUCACUGCCCCAUGUGCAUUUCGCCUCAUCCUCACUAGAAGAGAACUAGUCUGUAGUCAAGGGUAUAGGAGUAGCUGCACUUUCCCCUGCUAGAACCUCCAAAAAGCUCUCAAGUUCCCCUGUUGAUUUUAAAGACUUCAACUUCAAGGAGAAAAAAAAAGAUAAAGUCAACCAUCUUACUGAGUCUUCUUGCCUUU
rnacentral:snRNA from 1 species